AUAAGAGGCUUUUUAAUUUAUUUCAUCUCCUUCCCGCUAGAAGCUAAAAAAAAACCUAAGUCGUCUUCCACAAAGUGUAGACUCGAUAUCGCUCGGUUUGAAGCUUCAGUUUUCACCAUCAGUUGAAGUUUUCAUUUUCACCAUCGAAACUCGCUCGGUUUGAAGCCCAAGAUUUCGUCGUCGCUUCAAUCCUCUGUGUCUAUUUCUUUCUCUUGAAAUAAAGGUGAACCUGGAAAAACUCACAAUCCAGGCAACUCUUACUACCAGCCUUGCAGUCGACUCUUCUGGUUAGUUAUAAAUUCGUUAUAAAAAUGGAUGUGCUUUCUGUUAGGUUAGUUGUACUUGUUACUUUGGCUUUAAGAUGUUGUGAAUGUUACUGCAAAUUUAGAACUAAUAUCAUUUGUGACAAACUGUUGAGAGAACUAUGAUUUUGUAAGAAAGAAGAAAAAUCCUGAAAAUCCAGACGUGUGGGUUGAGCCGCGAGCUGAAGUGACCUAUCUUUGGAGGAUCUACGACAAACUCAGCCAGAAGAAAAUCGAGGUAUGCCACUUACUCAAGAAAAAGCUGAAAGAGUGUGGUUGGACUUGAUUGGUGGGCCGAGUAGAUAUGGGUAUGCCUAUGGAAUGCCACAACAAACCUUUCGUGAAUUUUCUUCUGAGUUUGAAGGUCUAAAUAGUUCCUAUGAUGAUGAAUGAAGAAAAAUUUGGCUAUGGAGCAAAAGAUUGCUGAGCUAUCUAGCCAAGUCGAAGACUCGCGGGCUAGGGAAAGGCGAGGGACUUAGAGUUUGCGGGUCUUAGUCUCAAUUCAAUGUUUUACUUGCUUCAGGAGGGAUUCCCCCUUGUUCCAGUGAUGUCACUUUCCGACCCCCUCAAUCUCAACCUACUCGAUAUCCAGUGUAUGGUCAACAAAGAAAUAUGACAGAUGAGUCUACUAGUGAUGAAGAAGAUGAUGAUCAUGCGGCAGACACACUACCACAUUAGUGAAGUUUAGAGUUGUGAUAGAUAAUCUAAGUUCUUUACUUUAUAAUUUUGUUAUGGGAGUUAUUUGUUUUGUGAAUGCACGAUAACAUUGAAAUUCUAUUAUAUAACUUAUGGAUAUUAUGAUUUUUGUUUAA